rnacentral:rRNA from 1 species
UACAGAGGGUGCAAGCGUUAAUCGGAAUUACUGGGCGUAAAGGGCGCGUAGGUGGUUAUGUAAGUGAGAUGUGAAAUCCCUGGGCUCAACCUGGGAAGUGCAUCUUAUACUGCGUAGCUGGAGUACAUGAGAGGGUAGUGGAAUUUCCGGUGUAGCGGUGAAAUGCGUAGAUAUCGGAAGGAACACCAGUGGCGAAGGCGGCUACCUGGCAUGAUACUGACACUGAGGCGCGAGAGCGUGGGGAGCAAACAG